ensembl:lincRNA
GUCACCGGGUGAAGAUGAGCCCUUCCAAGCUUUGCGCGCAGCCCGCCGCGCCGCCAAGCUCUUGGAUAAAGACUGCUGGCAGAUCAGAAAAGGAUGCGCAGGAGAUGAAGAAGUUACACCUUUAAGUAUGGACCAAACUGUAUUUGAAUCCCUCAGAGGAGCACCAAGAGGUUGUGCUGCUUUAGAGACAACACUACUGUCAGCUACUUCUCCAGCAUUACAUCUGCCUGCAUUCUACAGUGCUUCCCACCAUGACGAAAACUGACAAAACCUCUGAAUGGGAUCAGAUUCAUGAAAGAAAAAAGACAAGAAAUGCCAAUUUUAAAAUUCAAGAGAAGAAGACCAUAAACUUCUACUCCCCACCUCCAAUUCACCAGCUCAUAAUACCCUGAAGUCAGAUUCAUUGAAUGACUUAUCUGCUGUGUGCCAACUCUGUGACCCUGAGCUGUGGGGAGAUCACUAAAGGGAGCAGGGAGCUGGUGAUAGAAAAUAUGCCCUGUGAAGAUGUUGGAGUAAUAAACAAAUGGAUGGAUCUGUCAGUUCUUUAGAAAACACAAUGGACAAGAAAUACAGACACUGCAUCUAAGAAAAUCAGUACAUCAUUAGAUUAGUUUUAUCCAUCAUCUAACUUAUGUGAACAUUCCAGAACCAUCAAAUUGAUUAAAUAAACACAUUUUAAUGUGUGUGUAGCUACUGCUGUUGAUUACAUUAAAUGCGAUCAGUUUUACAUUGUAUUCUGAUUCCUGCUCCUGUCAAAAAUGCCAAUGUGAAAUAGAACAUGGCACAUGAAUCUUUUGGAAAGGGUGUGGAGUCAUUCGGUGGCCUCACAUUUUCCUUAUUAAAUACCUAUUAUGUGCUAAUAAUUUGAUAUUGUCUGGGACUAAAAUGUUGUACAAAAAAAGAUAUAUUCCUUGCUUGUACUGAAUUCAUAUUCUGACAUGGUAAAAUAUGAUAUAGAAAUGUUUUAUCUUCUUUUAAUAUGAUUUCAUUUCAGAUACAUGGCAAAAUAUUUGAUUCAAGAAAGAGUUAAUGAUAUAUUUUAGAACAUUAAAUCUAGAAUAGAAAUACAUUCUGGAAUUCAAACAUCUAUGAAACAUCCUAAUAGGAUGCCAUGAAUCCAUUUGUGACCAGGGCAUACAUUAUUAAUUUAUCAACAAAAGUUUUUUUUUUUCACUGAAUCUUUGUGUGCAUGGACUUAAGCUGUUACAACAUGCUCUCUAGAUAGACAGGUCUCACUACUAGAAAAUUCAUAUGUACUUUGCUAAAUAGGAUAACUCUGGUACUAAGGAUCAUUUUAGUAAGUGACCACAGGUAAAAGAUAUCCCAGAGUCAAAGCUUGGACCCUGGUCCUGUUUUCUAGAUAUCUUGGUAAUCCUCUUAACAUUUUCUCACUACUAUAGACCACCUCAACUUGGAGGUUUUAGGGUUCUAUUUUCAUGAUGGUUUUCUUUCUUUUUUAAGUACCAUUUUGUGGUAUUGGUUGUUGUUUGAGAGAUCUCCUGCUUCCAUACCUAAUGAAAAACUCUGAUGUCCACACCGUGGUUUCAAGUGUUGAAAUUACAAAUAACCACAUUAUAUUCUUCAGCUUGGAACUGAGGUGACACAUGGAGGAGGCUGGCAGAUUUGUUUCCUGUGGACACUGGAAAGUCAUCAUAACCAAAUUGAUUCCCAUUUUGCUUAGAUCCUGACUGGAAUUUUAAAUUCUAAGUAGGAGUAAAAUAAGCCUGAAUUCUGAUUGCUGUUUUGUGGGGCUGGAUAUUUUAAUAUUAGGAUUUUGCUUUCCCAAAAGUCUUCUGAAGCAUACUGAUAAACUGUCACCAUCUUAGCAGCGUUACUUAAAAGCCCAUUAGGGAGCUAAAACAUUGUCUUCUAGGAAAGAAGAAAAUGCUGUCAAAAUUGCCAAAUUUUUGUUGACUUACUUCAUCUGCAAUGGCAGGCUUGCUUCACAUCCUCAUUUCCAGUGAAGUCAAAUAAUUGCAAGAUGGAACGGUAGCAAAAUCUCAUAUUCAAAUUGCUUAAUAAUAAUACCUAAUGUAUACAGGACAAAAUAUAUGCUUUAACGAUUUUAAUCUCAUUUGAAACUUCACUCACACAUUUGCAUAAUAAACACAAAUAGCAUAAGGCCAGCCAAAGAAAAGAGGCUAGAAAUUAAAUUCAUUCCCAGCUAUGAGUCCUUCCAAAAGUCCUUCCAUUUGGAUAAUGCCAUCCUUUCCUUUUUUUGUGUCCAGGAAGAAAGGGAAGAGGGUCAUAAUUUUUCCAGUGUUCAAGGAAUACAGGAAAGAAGCAUGCAAUAGCAUCUUGACAAUUAUAGACCAAUUUCAGGAUUCAAGUAAAUAAGCCCAUAAUUAUAUAAAUCAUGAAUGAAUAUGCAGGUGAUGAAACAGACUUUCUUCCUUAGAGAAUAGCACCUAGGAGAAUGAGAAGAAAUGGAGUUAUUUGGAAAACCUGGACAUAACAAGCACAAGGAACAUAGGCUGAUACCACUGAGAUUUAUUGAUAGGAAAAUUCUUCAUCCAGAUUUUCAGAUUCAUAACAUUUCAAAUGAUCUCAUUAUCACUGUGCUCCCAAUAAAGAUACUGGAUAUUAGUGAAAAAAAUAAAAACCAUGUGUUGGG